rnacentral:rRNA from 1 species
AGUGAACGCUGGCGGUAGGCCUAACACAUGCAGGUCGAACGGCAGCACAGUAAGAGCUUGCUCUUACGGGUGGCGAGUGGCGGACGGGUGAGGAAUACAUCGGAAUCUACUUUUUCGUGGGGGAUAACGUAGGGAAACUUACGCUAAUACCGCAUACGACCUACGGGUGAAAGCAGGGGAUCUUCGGACCUUGCGCGAUUGAAUGAGCCGAUGUCGGAUUAGCUAGUUGGCGGGGUAAAGGCCCACCAAGGCGACGAUCCGUAGCUGGUCUGAGAGGAUGAUCAGCCACACUGGAACUGAGACACGGUCCAGACUCCUACGGGAGGCAGCAGUGGGGAAUAUUGGACAAUGGGCGCAAGCCUGAUCCAGCCAUACCGCGUGGGUGAAGAAGGCCUUCGGGUUAUAAAGCCCUUUUGUUGGGAAAGAAAAGCAGCAGGUUAAUACCCCGCUGUUCUGACGGUACCCAAAGAAUAAGCACCGGCUAACUUCGU